rnacentral:rRNA from 1 species
GAUGAACGCUGGCGGCGUGCCUAAUACAUGCAAGUCGAGCGAACGGACGAGAAGCUUGCUUCUCUGAUGUUAGCGGCGGACGGGUGAGUAACACGUGGAUAACCUACCUAUAAGACUGGGAUAACUUCGGGAAACCGGAGCUAAUACCGGAUAAUAUUUUGAACCGCAUGGUUCAAAAGUGAAAGACGGUCUUGCUGUCACUUAUAGAUGGAUCCGCGCUGCAUUAGCUAGUUGGUAAGGUAACGGCUUACCAAGGCAACGAUGCAUAGCCGACCUGAGAGGGUGAUCCGCCACACUGGAACUGAGACACGGUCCAGACUCCUACGGGAGGCAGCAGUAGGGAAUCUUCCGCAAUGGGCGAAAGCCUGACGGAGCAACGCCGCGUGGGUGAUGAAGGUCUUCGGAUCGUAAAACUCUGUUAUUAGGGAAGAACAUAUGUGUAAGUAACUGUGCACAUCUUGACGGUACCUAAUCAGAAAGCCACGGCUAACUACGUG